AUGUCAUAUAGGAACAACAACCCUGAGAUCUCAUCGUUUGUCUCUAGUUAUCCAAUGCAGGGAUUUAGGUAUGAAGAGGAGAGCCACAACUAUGGUCCACAACAGUCUUAUUCAGCUCCUAUUCAUAUACCUCAGCACCAGGAGAUGUUGCCAAUGGAGUUAAAUGGUCCUCCAUUUGGUCAACCAACACCUUCAACACAAGUGCCCACACAAGAUGAUUUUGAUGAUAUAGACAAGCUCACAUUGCUUAGUCUUGAUUUCACUUGGAGUGCCGAAGAUGAUCCAAUUAGGCUGGUGAUACUAGAGGAAAUGAAGAAGAUCAAGAGUGGAAAAGAGAUAGUGGAAGAAGUAAGGAAGAUUCAGAAGAACAUCAGCGCUGGCAACACUAUUUCUUCACAGAUAGAGCUGAGUAUUUCUAGGAUAUCCUUUGAUACAUGUGAGGUCCCAACACCUUCACAUUCAGCUGAGCAAGAUAACGAGAGUCCAGAGGAAGAUACUUCAGAUCCAAGAAGAAAUUCUCGAAGCCAAGGCACAAGAUGA
rnacentral:rRNA from 1 species